AGGGCUUCAUAUUUUUUAUAUGGUUGAAUUGUCAAAUUAUAAUUACUCCUUUUUCCUUUUUCAUUCUUCUUCUAGAUAUUAUUAUUAUUAUUUUAAAUUUCUCAUUCAUUGUGGGAAUAAUAUUUUGAUUUAAUUUCAGUAAUUCAAUGACAGCUUCACAAAUUCAAGAAAAUUAGUUCAAAAAGAAAAGAAAGUGCGUACCCAACUGCAGUUGAU
rnacentral:misc_RNA from 1 species